CGGAGGACUCUCACUUAAUAAAUGGUCUCUCGAGGUGCUAGUCCCCGAGGAGAUAGAUAUGGAUUGUUAUUAGGGGAACUUGCUCAGCGGUCCAUUUAUUGACCGAACUUUAACAUUAAAUCCCUGUUGACCGGUUGUUUAACAACCGGUCCAUAUAUAUUUUAACAUUGCUUUAUGGGACAAAAAUGCCCCCGCCUCUCCCAUUCCCACCGAAGAAGGAGAAGAAAAAGGCAGCCGCCGGCCACGGCCCACCCCCUCCCGCGCCUGCCGCCCGCCCCCUCCCGCACCCGCUGCCCCCUUCCGCGCCGCCGGAAAUACCUCCGCCCCCACGGUGGGGAGGUGCCAAAGAAGAGGAGCCGCUGCUCCCCCCGGUGGCCCCAUCCUGCGGCCGCCACCGUCCGACCCCCUUCCGUAGCUGUCGGCCUCGCGAGAGGAGAAGGAAGAAGAAAGAAGGAGAAGGGAAGAAGAGAAGAAAAAAAAGAAAAUGAAAAGAAAAAAAGAAAAUGAAAGAAAAAGAAGAAAAGAAAAGAAAAUAAAAAUAAAAAUAAAGUUAACUGUGUUCCUAGACAAGUUAACUGUGUUCACAGACAACUUAACUGUGUUCACAGACCUAGAGUCGACCCCUUAACAGCACGAGUCGACCCCUGCUCACCUGGAGUCGACUCUCAGGCUUUCCUAGACAAGUUAACUGUGUUCACAA
rnacentral:lncRNA from 1 species